CAUGCCUGGAGGCCCAUCGAGUCUGUUCAUACCUCAGCAAUUUGACAUUGACUGCACGGUUCAUUUGAGAGAUAACAUCCCCUCUGUUAGAGAUCACAUCCCCAGCAGACUAAAGCAGUCUACCUAUCCCAGGACAGAACUGGCAUUCUGCAUUGCCUCGUGACUCAUUGUAAAGCUCUUUGAGAUGGUCCUCAACCGGAAAAGGCAUCUGUGUGGAAUAAAACUGAUGUUAG
rnacentral:lncRNA from 1 species